AUGACCCAAAAUUGCUCAUUUUUUGGUCAUUUUUUUCCAAAAAUGAUCAUUUUUACCCCCGAUGAUCCAAAAAACCUCCAUUUCCAGUUGGUUUUUUGGGUUGAAAACACCCAAAAAUGGCUCAUUUUGACGAGGCAAAACUUUUUUUUUCUUCUAUUUUUUGUUUUUUAAUAGAAAUGACCCAAAAUUGCUCAUUUUUUUUGUCGUUUUUUAAUAGAAAUGGCCCAAAUUUGCCCCAAAAAUGAAACGAUGGGGGGAAGGAGGGGGGGGAAAGGAGGCGAAUUUUGGGGUGAAUUUGGGGUUAUUUGACGAAAACCACGUUGUUGUUGGCGUUGCGGGCGGCCAACCAGGCCAGGAAGACGUCCCUGAAAUGAGAUUUUUGGGUUAAAUUCCGCCGUUUUUGGGUCUGUUCUUCAUUCUACGAUUCUACAUUCAAGAUUGGGGUCAUUUAGGGGGCUUCAAAGGGAAAUUCUGGGUUAAAUUCCUGCGGUUUUGGGUCUGUUCUUCAUUCUACGAUUCUACACUCAAGUCUGGGGGCAUUUAAGGGGUUUCCAAGGGAAAUUUUGGGUUAAAUUCCUGCGUUUUUGGGUCUGUUCUUCGUUUGAUGGAUCUACAUUCAAGUAUGGGGGCAUUUAUGGGGUUUCCAAGGGGAAUUUUGGGUUAAAUUCCUGCGUUUUUGGCUCUGUUCUUCAUUCUAUGGGUCUACAUUCAAGUUUGGGGUUGUUUAAGGGGUUUCCAAUGGGAAUUUUGGGUUAAAUUCUUGUGUUUUUGGAUCUAUUCUUCGUUCUUAUGGAUCUGCAUUCGAGAUUAGGGUCUUUUGGGGGUUUCAAAGGGAAAUUUUGGGUUAAAUUCCUGCAUUUUUGGGUCUGUUCUUCAUUCUGUGGGUCUACAUUCAAGACUGGGGUUGUUUAUGGGGUUUCCAAGGGGAAUUUUGGGUUAAAUUCCACCGUUUUUGGGUCUGUUCUUCAUUCUUAUAGAUCUACAUUCAAGAUUGGGGUCAUUUAAGGGGUUUCCAAGGGAAAUUUUGGGUUAAAUUCCUGCGUUUUUGGCUCUGUUCUUCAUUCUAUGGGUCUACAUUCAAGACUGGGGUUGUUUAUGGGGUUUCCAAGGGGAAUUUUGGGUUAAAGUCCGCCGUUUUUGGGCCUGUUCUUCAUUCUACGAUUCUACAUUUAAGUUUGGGGUUGUUUAAGGGGUUUCCAAUGGGUUAAAUUCUUGCGUUUUUGGA